UUGCCUGCCCAGUGACAAUGUUAAACGGCCGCGGUAUUUUGACCGUGCGAAGGUAGCGCAAUCACUUGUCUUUUAAAUGAAGACCUGUAUGAAUGGUGAAACGAGGGCUUAACUGUCUCCCUUUUCUAGUCAAUGAAAUUGAUCUGCCCGUGCAGAAGCGGACAUAAUAAUACAAGACGAGAAGACCCUUUGGAGCUUAAGAUAUAAAGAUCAUCUAUGUCAAUGGGCCCCAACACGGCAACAAACUAAAUAGCAACUGAUCUUAAUCUUCGGUUGGGGCGACCACGGGAGAAAAUAAAGCUCCCACGCGGACUGGGGUAAACCCUAAAACCAAGAAAAACAUUUCUAAGCAACAGAACUUCUGACCAUUAAGAUCCGGCUACACGCCGACCAACGGACCAAGUUACCCUAGGGAUAACAGCGCAAUCCCCUUUCAGAGUCCAUAUCGACAAGGGGGUUUACGACCUCGAUGUUGGAUCAGGACAUCCUAAUGGUGCAGCCGCUAUUAAGGGUUCGUUUGUUCAACGAUUAAAGUCCUACGUGAUCUGA
rnacentral:rRNA from 1 species